rnacentral:lncRNA from 1 species
CCUCCUUCCUGGGUCUGCUCCCAGCUUCUGUCUCCAGCGGGCUUCUCCUCUUCUAUGUCCCUCUGCAGUUCUUUCUCUGCAGAGAAAAAGUCAUCAUAGCAUUGAGAAUCUAGAGCAGUUAAGACCUCGCGGUAAGGGAGGAAGAGACACACAUCGAUGGAACAGAGCAGAGAGGCCGGAAGCGGACCCACACUCCCAGCUGACAUCUGACAAACACACAAAGGCACCAAAGGUACAUCAGCAGCUGCAUGAGGAG